rnacentral:snoRNA from 1 species
UGCCUGUGAUGCAUAAACAAAUGCACGUAUUAUCGGAUUUCUCCGUGACGAUCUCACAAAUGUUGUCACUACCACUGAGGCA